AAUUGAAUAUCAAACAUUUUUUUCAUACAGUUAAAAGAAACUGAGUUAGCCAAUUGGUAAUGUCUCAAGUGAUGAUAUACAUACAUGGCUUAUAAAAUAAAGAGCUACUAUACAGCCUUCGCUGUAAAGAUGGCGAUUUGUCCUCUCUAACGUAGCAAAUGUAGAGGUAAGGAGGCUUUCGUCAUGUGGAAGAACUCUCUGUUUUACUAGUACUAGAUGUCGAAGUGAAACUAACAGGGCUCACCGGAUGAUCCUUCACGAUCAAGCUAAGAAUUUCAGGUCUUGCGUAGUGUCCAACAACAUCAAAAUCAAACUUGGCUCGAACAAUUUCUCCAAGAUCUAGAUCAGCUGAGAUGAGUGCCUCCCCGUCAUAAUUUGGUCCUGCUAGCACUGCCCCUGAUGGUGAAAUAAUUACACUACCACCAGCACAAACAACGGAAUCUGGUGUAAGGUCUUCUUCUGUGCCAGAAAAAACAUAUUCUGGUGGAGGUGGAUAAUCUUUCCUUCUACAGAAUUGAUUGGCCGAUAAAACAAAACAACCCCCCUCCAAUGCAAUGUGGGUCAUUGAUGCCUGCCACACUUCCCUAGCAUCAGCUGUAGGUGCACAAUAUAUCUCAAUGCCUUUAGCAUACAUUGCGGUCCUUAGAAGUGGCAUUCUGUUCUCCCAACAUAUUGCAGCACCUAUUUUUCCAACAGGAGUGUCAUAAACUGGAAUUGUUGAUCCAUCCCCAAAACCCCAGAUUAUCCGCUCUAACGCUGUUGGCAUUAUCUUCCGAUGCUUCCCAAGGUAGUGACCCUGAGAGUCGAAGAAAAGCACUGUGCAAUAUAGCGUGUAUCCAUCUCUCUCAAUUACACCCAUCACCAAGUACACCUUGUAUUUUCCAGCCAUUGCUGCCAGGAGAUCAACCUCAGGGCCUGGCACAUCAAUGGCAGAAGCAUGAUAUUUGCGAAACUCCUCCUUCCCCUUAUCUGUCCGAUUCCCAAUUGACACACCAAAAGUUGAUCCACGUGGAUAACCACCAAUAAAUGCUUCAGGAAACACCACCAACUGAGCACCAUAGGAAGCCGCUUCAGCAAGAAGCCUCUCAGCCUUAUCAAGAGUGGCAGGGGUAUCAUAGAAGACGGUAGAAGCUUGAACUACGGUAGCACGGACAGUGGAGGAAGAGGAAUCACCACCCAUUUCUACUUCCGCGAACAACGGCCCUUCGUUCACUACUGGGUUUGGGACCAAAGCCAUCGGAUUUUCUGCUUCUCAAUUUGCAGAUAGUGUUUUUCUGUACUAAUCUCCUAUAAUUGGGUUAAGAGAUUUCUA
rnacentral:misc_RNA from 1 species